ACGCUGGCGGCAGGCCUAACACAUGCAAGUCGAGCGGUAGCACGGGAGAGCUUGCUCUCUGGGUGACGAGCGGCGGACGGGUGAGUAAUGUCUGGGAAACUGCCUGAUGGAGGGGGAUAACUACUGGAAACGGUAGCUAAUACCGCAUGACCUCGCAAGAGCAAAGUGGGGGACCUUCGGGCCUCACGCCAUCGGAUGUGCCCAGAUGGGAUUAGCUAGUAGGUGGGGUAAUGGCUCACCUAGGCGACGAUCCCUAGCUGGUCUGAGAGGAUGACCAGCCACACUGGAACUGAGACACGGUCCAGACUCCUACGGGAGGCAGCAGUGGGGAAUAUUGCACAAUGGGCGCAAGCCUGAUGCAGCCAUGCCGCGUGUGUGAAGAAGGCCUUAGGGUUGUAAAGCACUUUCAGCGAGGAGGAAGGCGUUGUAGUUAAUAGCUGCAGCGAUUGACGUUACUCGCAGAAGAAGCACCGGCUAACUCCGUGCCAGCAGCCGCGGUAAUACGGAGGGUGCAAGCGUUAAUCGGAAUUACUGGGCGUAAAGCGCACGCAAGCGGUUUGUUAAGUCAGAUGUGAAAUCCCCGAGCUUAACUUGGGAACUGCAUUUGAAACUGGCAAGCUAGAGUCUUGUAGAGGGGGGUAGAAUUCCAGGUGUAGCGGUGAAAUGCGUAGAGAUCUGGAGGAAUACCGGUGGCGAAGGCGGCCCCCUGGACAAAGACUGACGCUCAGGUGCGAAAGCGUGGGGAGCAAAC
rnacentral:rRNA from 1 species